UACGAAGGGGGCGAGCGUUGUUCGGAUUUACUGGGCGUAAAGGGCGCGUAGGCGGGUCUUUAAGUCAGGGGUGAAAUCCUGGAGCUCAACUCCAGAACUGCCUUUGAUACUGAAGAUCUUGAGUUCGGGAGAGGUGAGUGGAACUGCGAGUGUAGAGGUGAAAUUCGUAGAUAUUCGCAAGAACACCAGUGGCGAAGGCGGCUCACUGGCCCGAUACUGACGCUGAGGCACGAAAGCGUGGGGAGCAAACAGG
rnacentral:rRNA from 1 species